ensembl:ncRNA B0361.13 ncRNA
AAUACGGUCCGGAGUCGGUGGGUUAUCUGAGAAGCCCCCCAUCGACACCAACUUGACCGAUGA